GCCGCCGCCGCGCCCUACGCCACACAGACCCCUCCUUGCCGCCGCCUGUGACCCUGCGCCCCGCCCCAGUCCUCCUCCGGCUCUCUCACUUUCACGUUUGUCCUUGUCUCCAGUUAUAGGUUCCACUUCCCUGUGAUGCCGUCUGGGAUUGGGGAUGGUGAUGAGAAGUGGCCGUGCCUGGAAAGCUCAAUGGAUGGCAGUUCUUGGUAAUGAGCCCCAGAAGGAAGGGAUGAUUGUGUCGCCCAGGAUCACAGACCCUUCGGGAACACACAGGAAGCGAGCUCGUCGGCAGCACAGAUCAUCUGCAUUGGUUACGACGUUUCUGGCUGCAAGGAGCAAAAGCUUGGCUUAGACAGUAAGAAAGUCUAUGACGUUACGCACCGACGAACCGGGAGCACAGACGGCAUCCGGCAGAACACCUCUCCCGGUGUCCCGCUCAGCAGCGCGGAAAUCUUCCCUGACGCCCCCAGAAGAGGCCAGAGUGUAUCCCACGAUGAAAGCAGUCACUGACCAGGGGCUAGAGCCAGCCUCACCUGAAGCACAUGGCUAUGUGGAAAGGGGGAGAUCCUUAACCACCAGCUCGGGUCAGGCAGGAAGGAGGAAAAUGCUCUCCACUCUCCUCGGGACAGGUUCCAGAUUCUUCAGCACAAGGCCCUUUAUCACUUCGAUCCAGCCUGAAAACCUUAUCUUCGGAGCUCUCUGAUCCUCAGCUUCUGGAUGGGGACACAGGCACAGACAGGUUACAAAUUGGAUGGAACGUUGCGCCAAUAAGUUCUGAAGAGGGGAGUGGGUCAUGAUCUCACAGUUGUGGGCCUGAGCCCCAAAUCAGAAUCUGAGUUAAAAGCACGGAGCCUGCUUGGGAUAUUCUCUCUCUCUCUGCCCCUUCCCUGCUCAUGCUCU